UUGGCUGUGAGGAUAUCUAUUCAGCUUCUAAUGCCAGUUCUGCUUCUGAAAAAUCAUGACUGAUAGAGCUGUUUCAUUUUCUGAGUCUCAA